AGCUAAAGGAAGUCCUUCAAAGCAUCCGAGACAUUUACGGUAAACGUGCUUCCCGUUACCUCCGUAUUUGGCCAUAACUUCUUUUUCAAAACCAUACACAGAGGUACAAUAUUUUGAUUCAUGAUUUCCGCGAAGUAGAUAUACUCUAUGUGGCAAAAAAACCUGCAACAAAUGCAUUAUUAUCCAUAUGAAUGACAUAGUGUGAACUAAGGAUAAUAGAAAAGAAAAUAUACCUGACAAAAAUUACAGAAUGAGGUACUAUAUCCAAAAAGUGUUGUAAAUUAAGAAACGUGGAGCAUUAAAAGCCACUGUAAAUGCAUGAACUCAACAAAAUUGAUAGAAAUUAAAAAGAGAAGAUAAGGACUAAUCUAAGAACAGUUAUUAUCCAAACAUUGUUACUAAGAUAUGUAAAUAUACCCGAAAAAUCGAUUAUAUGCAAGACAGUUUACCGUAAAUUAGUGAUUGUCAUAAUGGUCCAGAAUGUAUGAGCAAACAGUUAUUGCAUCAUGAAUAGACAUCCUUUUAUCACUAACAUAAAAUUAAAUGAGAACAGUAAAAUAACAACUGAGAUUAAAGAUUUAACCAAACAUGAACACGUACAAAAACUGUUCAAUAGAGUUCAAGUUGACAUUUAACUAAGUAGUAUUUGGUCACAAAUAUCUGAACAAACAUCUAGACAUUGUUUUUCAUUCAAUGCUUCUAUGCAUUAUACUAAAACAGACUGAGAAUUUAGAUAUUAUCGGCACUUCAUUACUGAACCCAAGAAUUUUCUUGUAAAACUGAAACAUACUCUCCACUUCGGGUUUAGAAAUUCAAAUUAGUUACCCUUGUUGCUAUAUGUCUUGACUCUAAUCAUAAAAGCAUUCAGAAAUACCAUUUAGCUAAUUAUUCCAACACACAGGUUAUACAAGAUAUCAACGCACAUUUACACAACAAAAAUUCGACAUCAAGAUUUUGUCUUUUUACUAUAACCAAACUCUGAUAAUUUCCAUUGCAAAAAACUUCCCAUUACUAUCGACCAAUUAUGUCAAGUAUCCAAGAGAAAAUAUAUUAAUCUUUAUCCAGAAAAAUCAUAACUAAACUAUAUAACUGAGAUAUCAAUACUAUCUAGCCAAUUACGAAACACACAAAUUACACAUAUAUUCUAUGCACAUGUACUUAAACGACAUCAAGAUUUUAUUAGCAUCACAAAACUCUUUUAAAUUCCACUUUAUCAAUCAAAUAUGCCAAGCAUCCAAGACGCAAUAAAUUCCUCCUUGACAAACAAAUUCAAACAAGCAAUAGUUCAGUUAAUCCCAUUUGGCCAAUUAUGUUGGCACAUGAAUCAUAAAUUAUAUCCAACGGACAGUCAGAGACUCUGCCAAAUCAAUAACGUCGAGCAUUCAUUUUUUUACUACAAACAAACUCAUAUAAAUUUUAAUGGCAUCUACAAAUCAUGUCAAGCAUCCAACACAUAAAAUUUCAUCUACUACAAAUGAAACUAUAUACCUUCCAGGCCAAAAGGAGGAAAAAAUCUUAAUCCCCGAAGCACCACAAUCAACAGUUCCCAAUCAAAACAUAAACUUGAUUCUUAUUAAAUCGAGCUUUAAUAUUUAAUGAGAAAUGAAAGCAUUACAAAACUGGUUCUAUAAAGUUCAUGUCGACAUAUAACUAUCUACACUUUGGUCUAUACGAAACGGGAAUGAAGGAUAUACAAAACUAACUCAUGUGAUAAGGGUUCUGAUUCUUGUUAACAGGGCUCAUUAACUAUGAACCAAACACCGCCCAAGAUUUCAUCGUCUAAAUACGAAGUCCAAUAACUUCCAUUGCAGAAACUGAUAUUACUAUCUACUAGUUAUGCCAAGUCGCCAGACACAAUAACUUCAUAUCAAUCUGAAUGACCAUAACUAAACUAUACAACUGCUAGUUCAAUUAAAUUCAGCCACUUGUGAGAACACACAAACUAUAAAUAAUAAUCCAUGCUCAUGUACAUAAAUGACAAUAUUUCAUUAGCUCAAAACAACUCUUGUAACUUCAACUUUAUCAACCAAAUUUGCCAACAUUCAAGAAAAAACAAAUUCCUCCUAAAUGCGAAAAAUCAGUUGAGCAUUACUUUAGUUAAUACCAUAUAUAUCCAAUGCACAUUCUCAGAUUCUGACAAAAUGAAGAACAUAAGAAUGCAUCUUUUUUACUAAAAAGUACAAACAAACUCUUAUAACUUCCGUUACCAUGUACUAAUCAUAUAAAGCAUCCAACAAACAAUGAAUUCAUCUACAGCGACAAAAAGUAUAUACCUUCCAAGCCAAAAGGAGCAAAAAAGUCUCGAGCCCCCACGCGCCACGAUCAACAUAAUCCCCAUUGAAAACAUAAACCCGAUUCUCAUCCGGAAACCCCGCCUCCCUGAACAAAAAC
rnacentral:lncRNA from 1 species